rnacentral:rRNA from 1 species
AACGAACGCUGGCGGCAUGCCUAACACAUGCCAGUCGAACGAGACCUUCGGGUCUAGUGGCGCACGGGUGCGUAACGCGUGGGAACCUGCCCUUAGGUUCGCAAUAACUCCCCGAAAGGGGUGCUAAUACCGGAUAAUGUCUUCGGACCAAAGAUUUAUCGCCUUUGGAUGGGCCCGCGUUGGAUUAGCUAGUUGGUAGGGUAAAAGCCUACCAAGGCGACGAUCCAUAGCUGGUCUGAGAGGAUGAUCAGCCACACUGGGACUGAGACACGGCCCAGACUCCUACGGGAGGCAGCAGUGGGGAAUAUUGGACAAUGGGCGGAAGCAUGAUGCAGCAAUGCCGCGUGAGUGAUGAAGGCCUUAGGGUUGUAAAGCUAUUUUACCCGGGAUGAUAAUGACAGUACCGGGAGAAUAAGCACCGGCUAACUCCGUG